rnacentral:rRNA from 1 species
GAUGAACGCUGGCGGCGUGCCUAAUACAUGCAAGUCGAGCGAACAGACGAGGAGCUUGCUCCUCUGACGUUAGCGGCGGACGGGUGAGUAACACGUGGAUAACCUACCUAUAAGACUGGGAUAACUUCGGGAAACCGGAGCUAAUACCGGAUAAUAUAUUGAACCGCAUGGUUCAAUAGUGAAAGACGGUUUUGCUGUCACUUAUAGAUGGAUCCGCGCCGCAUUAGCUAGUUGGUAAGGUAACGGCUUACCAAGGCAACGAUGCGUAGCCGACCUGAGAGGGUGAUCGGCCACACUGGAACUGAGACACGGUCCAGACUCCUACGGGAGGCAGCAGUAGGGAAUCUUCCGCAAUGGGCGAAAGCCUGACGGAGCAACGCCGCGUGAGUGAUGAAGGUCUUCGGAUCGUAAAACUCUUUUAUUAGGGAAGAACAAAUGUGUAAGUAACUAUGCGCGUCUUGACGGUACCUAAACAGAAAGCCACGGCUAACUACGUG